GCCAUCGGCCUCCUUAAAAACCGGUGGCGGUGUCUUGAUGCGUCGGGGGGGAGACUUCUCUACCAGCCCAAUAAGGUGUGCAGGAUCAUCAUGUCGUGUGGUGUCCUGCACAACGUGGCACUGAGGAAUGGUGUUCCCCUCCCACCUGGCCUCCCUCCCAUUCACCAUGAGGAUCCUGACGCACAGCCCCCUCCCCGGCAUGAAGACCACCAACGGGGAGCCAGGCUACGUCAGCAAGUCAUGCAGCGUUUGUGAAAGGAAUACACGUCGAUGGUGUCCCUUUGUGUUUGGAGGACCGCAUCUGUCAGCACGCGGCCACCUCCAGCUGUGCCGUGCGCCCGGGGCGCACUCGUGGUGGGUCUGACCAUCUCCUCUGUGGAUGUACCGGGGAUCUCCUCACCCACUGCCUCCAUCUGUAGAGUGACUGGAGAUAAAUAAAAAAUGUUAUUCGCUGCUUUUUACAUGGCUGUUAAAUUAAAUAAACAAUAAUUUACCGGUC